rnacentral:rRNA from 1 species
AACGAACGCUGGCGGCAUGCCUAACACAUGCAAGUCGAACGAGACCUUCGGGUCUAGUGGCGCACGGGUGCGUAACGCGUGGGAACCUGCCCUUAGGUUCGGAAUAACUCCCCGAAAGGGGUGCUAAUACCGGAUAAUGUCUUCGGACCAAAGAUUUAUCGCCUUUGGAUGGGCCCGCGUUGGAUUAGCUAGUUGGUAGGGUAAAAGCCUACCAAGGCGACGAUCCAUAGCUGGUCUGAGAGGAUGAUCAGCCACACUGGGACUGAGACACGGCCCAGACUCCUACGGGAGGCAGCAGUGGGGAAUAUUGGACAAUGGGCGAAAGCCUGAUCCAGCAAUGCCGCGUGAGUGAUGAAGGCCGUAGGGUUGCAAAGCUCUUUUACCCGGGAUGAUAAUGGCAGUACCGGGAGAAUAAGCUCCGGCUAACUCCGUG